GAGUUUGAACCUGGCUCAGGACGAACGCUGGCGGCGUGCCUAACACAUGCAAGUCGAACGAAGUUAAACGCUGAUGAUUUAGCUUGCUAUUGAUUCUUGUUUAGCUUAGUGGCGGACGGGUGAGUAACGCGUGAGCAACCUGCCUUUCAGAGGGGGAUAACGUUUGGAAACGAACGCUAAUACCGCAUGAUAUGAUCAAACUGCAUGGUUUGAUGAUCAAAGGAGCAAUCCGCUGAAAGAUGGGCUCGCGUCCGAUUAGGUAGUUGGCGGGGUAACGGCCCACCAAGCCGACGAUCGGUAGCCGGACUGAGAGGUUGAACGGCCACAUUGGGACUGAGACACGGCCCAGACUCCUACGGGAGGCAGCAGUGAGGGAUAUUGGUCAAUGGGGGAAACCCUGAACCAGCAACGCCGCGUGAGGGAAGACGGUUUUCGGAUUGUAAACCUCUGUCCUCUGUGAAGAUAAUGACGGUA
rnacentral:rRNA from 1 species